rnacentral:sRNA from 1 species
UCCAGUAUGUCUCUCCAGACUGCUCUGUU